GACGUAGGAGGCGAGCGUUGUCCGGAUUCAUUGGGCGUAAAGAGCACGCAGGCGGUUUGGCAAGUCGGACGUGAAAAUCCGGGCUCAACCCCGGACCGUGCAUCCGAAACUGCCCGACUAGAGGUAGGUAGGGAGAUCGGAAUUCCUGGUGUAGCGGUGAAAUGCGCAGAUAUCAGGAGGAACACCGGUGGCGAAGGCGGAUCUCUGGGCCUUACCUGACGCUCGAGGUGCGAAAAGCCUAGGGGAGCAAACAGG
rnacentral:rRNA from 1 species